UGUGAGGGAUUCUGCAGUACCACGAGUUUACAACCUGUCAACAGCUUCUCUAAGGGAAGUCAUGUCACUGAUGUUACUGUAGACACUGCUGUCGCCAAUUCAACUCUCAAACAAAACUACAUACAGAUUGGCAUUUAUGACGGAAGGACAGUAGCAGUCAAACUAAUUCACAAGAAACAUUUCACUCUUGUCAAAACCAUCAGGAAAGAAGUGAAGCAAGUAAGGGAACUGGAUCACCCUAAUCUUUGUAAAUUCAUUGGUGGCUCCAUUGAAGUCCCCAAUGUUGCCAUAGUGACAGAAUACUGCCCCAAAGGAAGCCUCGCGGAUGUUCUUUUAAAUGAAGAUGUUCCGCUGAACUGGG